UUUGGAGAGUUUGAUCCUGGCUCAGGACGAACGCUGGCNGCGUGCUUAACACAUGCAAGUCGAACGGGAUCCUUUCUAGCUUGCUAGGGGGGUGAGAGUGGCGAACGGGUGAGUAACGCGUGAUUAACCUGCCGUGUAGUUUGGAAUAGCUCCUGGAAACGGGUGGUAAUGCCGAAUGUUCCACAUGCUCGCAUGGGUGUGUGGGAAAACGUUUUAGUGCUAUGCGAUGGGAUCGCGUCCUAUCAGCUUGUUGGUGGGGUAGUGGCCUACCAAGGCUUCGACGGGUAGCCGGCCUGAGAGGGCGACCGGCCACAUUGGGACUGAGAUACGGCCCAGACUCCUACGGGAGGCAGCAGUGGGGAAUAUUGCACAAUGGGGGGAACCCUGAUGCAGCGACGCCGCGUGCGGGAUGACGGCCUUCGGGUUGUAAACCGCUUUUAUUGGGGAGCAAGCGUGAGUGAGUGUACCUUUUGAAUAAGCACCGGCUAACUACGUGCCAGCAGCCGCGGUA
rnacentral:rRNA from 1 species